UGAGAUAUUCCCUUAGUGCUUUACCCAAACCACCCUUAGUUACCCCUGAAAUUUACUCUUAAGUCUUAGAUGGGUUAUGGGUUAAGUUGACCCUGGGCUGACCCAUUAGAAUGAACCUCAUUUUCUCUGGUCUUUGAUUCAAUCAACAAUCAAAUCCAGUCCAUUGAAGUCCAAAUAAAAUUCAAACCUAAAAAUGGUUAGAGAUUUAAAGUGAAACUAGAAUAAAGGAAAAAAGAGAUUUAAAAUUAAUCAAGAAAACGAAAAAUCUGAAACCAAAAAGACUUAAAUAAAAAGAAAACAACCAUGGCAAAUGAUCAAAACAAACACAAUCAAUGGAGAAAAGUAGCACGACACAUUAUGAAUAUCAAAUAACUAAUGAAAGAGAAAAGAAAAACCUAAAAUUCAGAAAUUGAAAUUUUUCUAAAUUCAAUCAGAAGAAGCUAGUUGAAGAAGGAUAGAAAAAGAACAAGGGGACAGAUGUGGAACAACAACAAUAAACAGAAAGGGUGGCGGAAACUUACCGAUUCAACCCUAGACUGGACUGACCUUCUCAAUUACACUGCAGGAUAAUGUCAAUCAUCUAUUCUUUGUCAAGAAUAGGCACAUGAUAUCAUUUCGCGAUUACAUUGGCCCUAAAAAAUCAUGAGACUGGACCCUUGACCUUGCAUGCGUAGUUUUAAUUUUUAGCUUUCAGGGAUUAAACCUUUGAUUUGAUAUUUGAACCACUCCUGAGGUGUUUGAAGGAUAAGUUAGGAUUUAGAAUGAGGGAGGGAGAGAGGUCUCAGGGUAUUGAUUUGGGGUCGAACAGAGGUGGCGCCGCCACCAGAGAACAUCGCGGCGGCGCUAGGGUUUCGAGUUUUGAUCUGAAAUUCGACGAAUUCUGGGUGGAUUUGAGGAGAAGGGUUCGAGGAUUUGGGAUGUGGAGGUGGAGGAGAGUACUUGGUAUUAAUUUCAAGGCGUUUGGACGCCGACCGGUGGUUUUAGGGCGGAGCUCGGCGGAGUCUCUGAGGAGAGGGGGUGAGAUGAGAGAUGCAUUUGAUCGGGGGGGGGGGGGGUAAGCUUAGGACAGUUAUAUAUAAAAUGAGGCUUAGUUCUGGACCACCCCAUGGAAAGAAAUCAACGGUCCUGAUCAAGACCAUUGGAAUGGCGUCGUUUUGGUUACUGGUGGGGUUUGGACCGGGUUGGGACAUGGAUCUAGGCUGAUUCGGUCGGGUAGAGGGGUUGAAUUAAUUGGGCUUAGAAGAAUUUCAUGGAUUUGGCCAAAAAAUAUUAUUCUUUUCACUUCUUUUCCAUUUCCCAUUUUCCUUUUAUUUUAAAAACAUCUUUUCUUUUCAAAAAUUACAAAUAAAACCUAAAUUAAUCCCUAAACCAAAUUACCAUACCAAAUUAAAUUAAUUAACUUUAAAUAAUAAUUACCACAACUAAUUAAAUACCAAACUAAAAGAAAACUACCAAAAUUCGAAGCUAAAAAUUAAAAUGCAAAAACGAGCUAUUUUUGUGAUUUCCAUUUUCGUAAAACAAACUAAUUUAUUAAUUAAUCUAAACAUAUAAAAUUAAAUCCUAAAUGUAAUGUGUGAUAUUUUUUGCUAUUUUUCAUGAUUUAAAUAAAAUGAAAUAUGCGCACAAAAUGUAAAUAAACACAAAAAUUGGGCAAUAAAUUCCUAAAAACCAAAGAAAAAUCCUAAUUUUGGAGAUUCUGUAGGAGUAAUUCAUGCGAGGCAAAAAUCAUGUGCUCACAGCUGCCCCUCUUUGCUCGGAGACACGAAGGGUUUUCGGGCAAAGACAAAAUGAGCAAUUAUGAGGGAUUUUUGCCUGUUUGACACUCUAUGAGAAGCAUUUUGAAAAGAGUCUGACCGAACCUUGCUUCAAAGGUUGCCUACAUAUCCUUGGCUAUAGAGGAAUCAGGUCGGUGUAGUUUUGGAAAUUUUGGUAGCUGGGACUACCGGGAAGUUGUGAUUUCACUGUUGUUGCUGCUGCUACUGCUUGCUGACCUCCUUAUUACACCAAAAAGGAAAAUUAAAAGCCAAGCUAGCUAGGCAUAUCAACUACGAGUUACAAAAUUCCUAUCUAUAAAUCUCUUGAAACUUGAUCUUGAGUCUUAGCUGAUUUUUCUGUGGACCACGAUCCGAAUCUUGAUGCUCGCAAGCUGUAGGUGCUGGUUCUUUCUUCAGCACUGGAUCAAGGUGGGACAUGCGAAGCUUGUGACUUCAAUCAUAUCUUGAGCAGUCCACAUCUUUCUCCGCUUCAACCUUUUGAAUUCACUUCUUUUGUUGUUUUCUUUCUUUUCUUUAUUCUGGAUUAAGACUCGUUCUUUUGGUCAUGUCGAACCCUGUGUCUCGAGCUAAACCUGCUCAGACACCAAAACCAAACAAACGAACAAAGUUUUUCUGCCCCAGUUUUCACUAGAAAAUUUUCGUGAGUUAUUUGCAACAAAAUCUAAACUAUUCAGGGGAUGGAGCCCUAUAUCUAAAAUGUCAACUCAGGGAUUGGAGCCCUAAUAUUGGCGAAAAGGUGACUAAGGAAUGGAGGCCUUGUGUCUAAAAAGCUCAACUCAAGGAUUGGAGCCCUAAUGUUUGCAAAAGACGACUAGGGAAUGGAGGCCUUGUGUCUAAAAGGCUCAACUCCGGGAUUGGAGCCCUAAUGCUGGCAAAAGGCGACUAGGGAAUGGAAGCCCUNNNNNNNNNNNNNNNNNNNNNNNNUGACUAGGGAAUGAAGGCCCUAUGUCUAAAAAGGCUCAACUCAGGGAUUGGAGCCCUAAUGUUGGCAAAAUAGUAAAAGACUAAGGUUGGGAAUCAGAAGCUAUCAUUUAUGUUUGGAUUUUCUUUUUUCUUUUUCAUUUACCGUGGUUCAUUUCAUUUUAUUUCAAUAAAAUGGAGGAAAUAAUUUUGGAGAAAAACUUCCCUUUUUUGGGUUAAUUGUUACUGCGAAGCUGUUUCUAGCUUUUGCGUAGCUUCUCCUUCGUCUGCACCUGCUUUUGCACGGUUGCCCUAGGCUGCACCUGUUUAAAUCUUUUCAAACAAAGAAAAAUUGUUAGUUUUGAAAUGGUGGUUGAUUUUGUGGCCUUGAUGGUUUUGAUCACUCUAUCUCGGCCCAACUUUUGGCGAGAACCUCUGUUGCUUGCUGGUUUUCUGGAGCUUGAUCUCUCUUUCAAACCGAGGGACUCAACUUUUAAGAUGUUAUGACGAUUCGCCCGCGUGGGGCUUCGACCCUUUCACUUUAUUUCGCCUUUAGGACUUUUGCCUUUGACUUUCUUUUCUUUUUCAAUAACUUUUAUUUCAAGGUAUCAGCCAUCAUGGCCAGUCAGGAUCGACUUGAUGCACCCGCUGAGGCUGGGUACUUUUCUUUAGCUUUUGUUAGGCAGAGCCCUGUAAAGCCAAUCUUGCCACCAUUUCUUUGUAUUAGUUUCGUAAACAGAGUUAGACCGAAAGGGAUUCAAGGAAAAAGUAAACAAAAGGCAAGAAAAAUGAAUUUAAUGAGAAGUGUCUCUUUCGGGAAGGAAGGAAGGACUUAUCUGGGGUGCAUGCAGGUUUCAAAUAGACAUGACAUGCUUCUUGGAAUGGAUGCCCGAUCUGCACGACCAUUCAACUUCUAAUAAACUCAUUGCGACCCGUGUUUUGGAACCAAGAAACCUUGCCAAGACUCUUUCGAUACUAGUGGUGGGGAGGGGUUUCUUCUUUUCGACCGAUGGCGCCCUUUGCGAGCUUUCGCCAAUCGACCUCUCUCAUUUCUCUUCUCACUAUCGCUCGAUAAUGCUUUUACAAGUUUUCACUAAGCGGGCUCUCUCGUUUCCAAUUUCUCUGCUCACCGUUGCCUUAUGAUGCCCAUAGGUUUUCACCGAUAGGACUCUCUCAUUUUUAUUUCUCUCAGUUUGAUUGUAUCAGAUCCAAACAACGGUGUUUUCUAAUCCCGACGCCUUUUCCAAUUGAUCAGAAGGACUUGGACAAGGUUUGGGCAAAGAGAAUCUGGACAAAAUUACAUCUUCGGAACCGUUCUAGUUGGCUUAUCGCCGAACCACUAUGUCCUCUGGCCCAGUUUCACUUUUUGGGGGAAUUUUGCCUUUUGUUUUGGUGUGACUAAACCCCAGAGAGAGGCUGCCUACGUAUCCUUUCGGAAUCAAGUCGAACGUAGUUCAGAGAAACAUUUUGUCUCUUUUUUUUUAACACUUUAAGGUUCCCAAGAGGGUAAUCAAAGAAGAGUAACCGACUCAAAUGGGUUUGCAAAGGGUAGAUAGUGUUUGGGUAGUGAGAAUGAAAGCCUUCGUCAUCCCAACCAGACAAGAUUGUCGCUGCAGGAAAGCUAAACAUAAUACCUUUUGACUGCAUCCGCAUUUACAACUGCUUCGGGAUCAUUCCCUUCGGUAUCGCCCAGAUACAAUGCCCCUUUUGGAAAUAUCUUUCUGAUGAUGUAUGCGCCCUUCCAAUUAGGAGCAAAUUUUCCUUUCGCUUCCUGGUGAUGGGGAAAGAUACGCCUUAAAACGAGUUGCCCUACUUCAAAAUUUCUAGGCCGCACUUUCUUAUUGUAAGCACGGGCCAUUCUUUGUUGGUACAACUGCCCGUUCCAGACCGCGACCAUUCGCUUUUCAUUGAUCAAGGUUAAUUGUUCCAGCCGGGUUUUAACCCACUCGCUGUCUUUAAUUUCAGCUUCAACAAUGAUUGGGAAAGAGGGGAUUUCAACCUCUGCGGGUAUUACGGCUUCAGUGCCAUAAACCAAAAGAUACGGGGUGGCUCCAACGCACAAUAGUGCGAUAUCCCAACAAUGCAAAUGGUAACUUUUCGUGCCACUACCUAGAACUUUGAAUCAUCUUUCUCAAAAUCUUUUUGAUGUUUUUGUUUGCUGCUUCGAUGGCCCCAUUGGCUUUGGGCCAAUAAGGAGUAGAGUUCCGGUGCGUUAUCUUGAAUCGUUCACAUAUCUCUCCCAUCAAAUGAAUAUUCAAGUUUGUAGCAUUGUCUGUGAUAAUAGUUGCAGGAAUGCCAAAACGGCAGAUAAGAUUGGAGUGCACGAAAUCUACCACAACUUUCUUAGUGACGGAUUUGAGAGUGAUGGCUUCAACCCAUUUCAUGAAGUAGUCGAUGGCAACUAGUAUGAAUCUGUGCCCAUUUGAGGCUUUCGGCUUGAUUGGCCCAAUGACGUNNNNNNNNNNNNNNNNNNNNNNNNNAGUCCUUGCCCAUGGUUAUCCAGUAAUAACCCGCUUGAAGGAUUUUCUUUGCUAAAACAUGCCCGUUCAUGUGGGGUCCGCAUACUCCCGCAGGUACCUCAUGCAUGAUCCUUCCAGCCCUUUCUGCGUCAACACAUCUUAACAAGUUGAGGUCCGGAGUUCUCUUGUACAAGACAUCGCCACUCAAAAAGAAACCACUUGCGUGCCGCCUAAUGGUUCUCUUCUGUUCUCCACUGGCUUGCUCGGGGUAUUCUUGCGUUUUCAAAAACCUUUUGAUGUCAUGAUACCAUGGUUGGGUAUUUGGUGCUGUUUCAACCGUAUUACAAUGACCAUGCCUUUCCCGGAUCUGCAUUUCCAAGGGGUCAAUGUGGGCAUUGCCUAGGUAUGUUAGCAUUGAGGCUAAAGUGGCAAGCGCAUCAGCUAGUUCAUUGUGGCAACGAGGAAUGUACCUGAACUCUAUUGAAUUGAAUAGCUUACCAAGUGCUUCCACAUGUUGCCUAUAAGGAAUAAGCUUGACAUCUCAGGUUUCCCAUUCUCCUUGAGCUUGUCGGAUAAUCAAAUCUGAGUCUCCCAUGAUUAACAGUUCUACGACAUCUUGGUCGAUUGCCAUGUUCAUACCCAUAAUGCAAGCUUCGUACUCGGUGGUGUUGUUUGUACAGAAAAACUGAAGCCUAGCUGUGGCCGGGUAGUGCUGACCGGUGGGCGAAAUUAAGAUUGCCCCAAUUCCAACACCUUUUGCGUUUACCGCUCCAUCGAAGAACAUUUUCCAAGUGUCGAUGUCUUCGGAUAUUGCCUCAACUGAGUUUACCUCUUCAUCCGGGAAGUAAGUAUUCAAAGGAUGGUAUUCAUCAUCAACCAUAUUUCAGCCAAGUGAUCUAUUAACGCCUGGGCUUUCAUUGCUGUGCGAGUGACAUAUACUAUGUCGAAUUCCGUAAGUAGGAUCUGCCACUUUGCUAGCAUCUCAGUGGGCAUUGGCUUCUGGAAUAUGUAUUUUAAAGGAUCCAACCUGGUUAUGAGGUAAGUGGUGUAGGCUUGCAAAUAAUGUCUCAACUUCUGAGCGACCCAUGUCAAAGCGCAGCAUGUCCUUUCCAACAUAGUGUACUUGGUUUCAUAACUGGUGAAUUUCUUGCUCAAAUAGUAAAUAACCUGCUCUCUCUUUCUGGUCACAUAGUGUUGCCCGAGGACACAGCCGAAAGAAUUUUCCAAGACUGUCUGGUACAAGAACAAAGGCCUCCCUAGUUCAGGUGGGACCAAGACUGGCGGAUUUGACAGAUAUUCCUUAGUUUUAUCAAAAGCUUCUUGACAUUCAUAUGUCCACUUGACUGCCGCGUCUUUCUUCAGCAAUUUGAAUAUGGGUUCACAUGUGGACGUCAACUGGGCAAUGAACCGGCUGAUGUAGUUCAAUCUACCCAACAAACUCAUAACAUCCUUCUUAGUUUUCGGAGGAGGCAAAUCUCGAAUAGACUUUAUCUUUGUUGGGUCUAACUCGAUGCCCCUCCGACUGACGAUGAAUCCCAAGAGUUUGCUGGAUGGCACCCCAAAUGCACAUUUGGCUGGGUUCAACUUCAAAUCAUAUUUGCGCAGCCGCUCAAAAAAUUUCUCAAGUCCCGAGCGUGGUCGUCCUGGGUUUUGGAUUUGAUGAUUACAUCAUCCACAUACACCUUUAUCUCUUGGUGCAUCAUAUCAUGAAAAAUGGCUGUCAUGGCCCUCAAAUAGGUUGCCCCGGCGUUCUUGACACCAAAUGGCAUGACCCUAUAAUAGUAUGUAGCCCAAGGUGUGGUAAAAUUUGUCUUCUCUGCAUCUUCUUCAUCCAUCAACACCUGGUGAUAUCCUGCGUAACAAUCCACGAAGUACUGUAUCUCAUGCUUGGCGCAAUUAUCAACAAGGAUGUGGAUUUUCGGCAAAGGAAAGUUAUCUUUGGGACUUGCCUUGUUUAAAUCUCUGUAAUCCACACAUACCCGGGUCUUCCCGUCUUUCUUUGGCACUGGGACUACAUUAGCUAACCAUGUGGUGUACCGGACCACUCAGAUCACCCCUACUUUCAAUUGCUUCGUGACCUCUUCUUUGAUCUUGUCACUGAUAUCAAUUUUAAACUUUCUUUGCUUUUGCUGGACUGGGGGACAGUCUGGGUAAGUAGGCAACUUAUGAACCACCAAAUCAACACUCAGUCCUGGCAUGUCGUCACAUGACCAAGCAAACACAUCUUUGAACUCAAACAAGAGUUGGAUUAAGGCGUCUCGAGUUUUUUCAUCUGCGUGGAUGCUUAUCUUGGUUUCCCUGAUUUCUUUAGAACUACCCAAAUUAACCGGUUUAGUAUCAUUUAAGUUCGACUUAGGUUUAUUCUCAAAUUGUUCCAAUUCUCGAUUUAUUUCCCUAAAAGCCUCUUCUUCAUCGUACUCCGGUUCUUGGUUCAUCAUUUCAUAGUUAAACAGUGUGUUUGGAUCUAGGCAUGAAGUCCACAAGCAUGUCAUGUUAUUUAAAGCAACAUUGUUAGAACUGAAAGAAGAAACAAAAGGGAAAAAUAAAAAAAAUCAGAAAGAAUAAAGAAAGAUGAAUGAUGAAAUUUGAUUUCAUUUCUUGGAAUUUGACGAUAAAAAGGUUUACAUUGGAAAAUUAAAAGACAAGAAACUAAAGAAAACAUCCGAGUUACACCCUGAAAUAACUCGUGUUGCAGAAAAGGUGGCAGGACAGGUCUACCGGGACUCCCGCUUGAUUAGGAAUGCCAUAGCCUUCCAAUUUUGUAGCUUGGCAUCAGGUCCCAUAUACAGCACCUCAGUGGCUUGAGCCCUCCCCUGGAUGGACCAUAAAGGUUUCAUAUAGUAUCUUCCUCAUUGCCUCACAGAUCUCUUCAAUCUCUUCGGCUGUGAAUGCCUCAUAUUCUUUUCCUCAUGGUGUUUUGGCUUGACAAAUUUUCUGUACAGAUGCGGCACCGACCGAGGCAAGACCCAACCAUCAUUCUUUCUAUCAUUUUCCCAUUUUACAUCAGCUGGAGUGGGUCGGAAGCCUAUCCCAAAGAACUUUUCACUGGCGGUCAGGGUGACAGGUUCAGUUAUCCCUUGCAAGGAUUUCCCGAGCCCUUUCCCCAGUUUGAAUCCAUGUCUGAUCAUUUCUUUGGCCACCAUGAUUGAUGCAUUAGAAAGAAAGGGUUGGGGGCAAGGGUUUCCCUCUUCGUACUGAUUUGCCACCACAAUUUUAAAGGCCUGAUAAACUAUGUGCUCAGUCCCCUUUCUUGCUUCAAGACAUGAGACUGAUGGGUCCCGAUAAAUUAAUUGCUCGUCUUCUCCGUGGACCACAUUCUCUUGAUCUUCAUGCUCAAUUUUACCAUCUGAUGAAGGGUAGAACGUACAACCCCCGCUGCAUGAAUCCAUGGCCUCCCAAAAAGCAAAUUGUAGGAUGUGUCCAUAUCAAAAACUUGGACGGUUACAUCAAAAUCUACUGGGCUAAUGGUUAGAAUCAGAUCGAUCUCUCUAAUUAUGUCCCUUUUUAUACCAUCAAAAUCCCGUACACAGACAUUGUUGGGUCGAUUUUUUUCGGUCCCGAUUUCCAUGCGCUAUAGAGUUGAGAGUGGGCAAAUGUCUACCCUAGAGCCUCCGUCCAACAUAACCCUUUUCACUUAGUAACUUUCGUAUUUGACUGUCAAGUGCAGGGCUUUGUUAUGUGUGACCCCCUCUGGGGGUAAGUCAUUUUUGCUGAAGCAAAUCUGGUUAAUUGCGAAAACUCUUUCAGCCAUUCUCUCCAACUGCUCUACAGAAGUCUCAACAGGCACAUAUGCUUCGUUAAAGGUCUUGAUCAAUACUUUUUGAUGUUCGGUGGAAUUCAUCAAUACAGAUAACAAGGAGACUUGUGCGGGAAAUUUUCGAAGCUGGUUGAUUACCUCAUAAUCUGCCAUUUUCAUCUUUUGAAAGAAGGCCUCCGCUUCUUUGGCACUUACAGGCUUCUUAGAUGGAAAGCGCUUUCUAGUGACAUUGUUUACCUCUUCCAGAUUGAAAUACUUUUCAGCCGGGUUAUUUUCUCGAAUUUUUCCUGAGAUUUCUUUGGCUUUAUAAGUCACCACUAAUUUGUUGUAAUUCCAGGGCACAGCGGUAGGAUCCGUCAUGGGCUUUUGUGGUGCGCGGCCAAUAACCGCGGGCUCACUCAACCUUGGUAGAUUAAUUGGCCCCUGCAUCACAUAAGCUCCUUUGGGCACAUACAUUUGGGUUUUCUUAUUCAGUUCGAACCUCCUGGGAGGACUCAAAUCCAUCUGCUUUUCUUUACGGCCUCGAGGGACAUAUAGGACAACAUCUUUGGGAGGCAUUGCCCCAAUUUCCACUUCAACUUUCUUUUUUGACUUUUGAGGGGUUGUUUUGUUCUUUUUCUCCCCUUUGUCUUGCUUCGGGGCAACUUUUAAUUUCUUUUGUACAUCAGCGAUGGCAAUGAUGGCCUUCAAUGUUGGGUCGAAUUCCUUGUCCUCACAAAUCAUUCCGAUUACCGGCCCGUUAUUGUGGGCCGACAGCGGGUUGUUAGUCACAUUGGGAAUAUCUUCAUCUCUUAGCACUAUCUUCCUUUGUUCUAUCAAGUUUUCCACGGCUCUCUUCAGAGUCUAACAGUCAUCCGUGUCAUGACCUUUUGCCCCGGAGUGAUAGGCGCAUUGGGUACCGGCUCUGUAAGCGGGUGAUGCUGGGUUUUGCCAGGUUUGAGGAACAGGCUGUAGCAGAACCAUUUGAACAAGCUUUGGUAACAGGCUGGAGUAUGGUUCGCCAAUUGAUGUAAAAUUUGGCCUCUUGGGUGUUUCAUGAGGGUGGAAAUUGUUUUGUGGAAGCCGGGGGUUGUAGUGGUUUUGGUAAGGAGGCUGGUUGCUAGGAAAUAGAGCUUGGUUCCGGUUGUCUUGUUAUUGUGGCCGGACAUAAGGUUGAGCAUUCAUGAUCGUGUAUGGAUGAGGAGUAUAGGCCAUGUCUUGGUGGGGGUAAUAGUGUUGUGGGGUCCUUUCUGGGAGAAGGGAUCUGGGAGUACGAUGUUUUCUUGCACCUGACGCUACCAUGGAUGUUUCUUCCUUUUUCUUGCCUUUCGCUAUUCCUCCGGACCCACCCUGAAUGGCUUGGGAAGUAGCUCUGAUAGCGGAUUGGCUUAGAAUUCGACCCGUUUUCAAUCAUUUCGCCAAUCUUGAUGGCUUCAGUGAAUGGUUUACCCAUAGCAGACAUCAUAUUUUGGAAGUAGUCGGCUUCCUGAGCUUGGAGGAAAAUUGUGACCAUUUUGACCUCAUCCAUUGGAGGCUUUACCCUAGACGCCUGCUCACACCAUUUAACUAUGUACUCCCGGAAGCUUUCCGAGGAUUUCUUUUUCAAGUUUGUCAACGAGUUCCUAUUUGGAGCAAUAUCAAUGUUGUACUGGAACUGCCUGACGAAGUCUCUAGCAAGAUCAUUCCAGAUGUGCCAGCGGGAUAUAUCCUGGUCCAUAUACCACUCAGAGGCGAUGCCAACCAGAUUUUCUCCGAAAUAGGCCAUGAGUAGUUCUUCCUUUCCACUGGCCCCUCGCAAUUGAUUGCAAUAUUUCUUGAGAUAAGCAAUAGGAUCACCGUGCCCAUCGUACUUCUCAAAUUUUGGGGUUUUUAAUCCCAAUGGUAAGUGCACAUGAGGGAACAUGCAUAAAUCUGCAUAGGACACACUUUUUUGUCCACUCAGGCCUUGUAUGAUUUUGAGACUCUGUUCCAUACUCCUCAUCUUCCUCACAAUCUCUUCUUUCUCAGGAGAUUUGGUGGUCUUUUCUUGCCCCACAAUGAACUCAAAUUGGGGUGGCUGAGGGUAAGUAUAAGUGGGAAACUGAGGAGGUUCCAUCUGAAAGGUAGGUGUUAGGAAGGUGAAAGUCGAGGGGUUAAAAUUGGGCCUAGGCAGUGUAGGUUGUGUCGUGGCCGAGCAUGGAGGAGCGGUGAAGAUGUUUUAAGCUGCACUGAAGAUGAACACCUGGGGGCGAACCUCAGAAGGUGUUCCCACAAAAUGAGCUGAGAUAGUUGGAUGUCCUAGUGGGGUAUUUGGGUGACUGAUUGGAACAUUGGAAGUACCACCUGAUCUAGGAAAAAGCUCGGGGAAUCCCGGGAUUGCGCUUAGUGGCUCUCUUCCAUUUGCCCAAGCGUCCCACAUUUCCAUAACCCGAAGACGCAAGAUUCUGUUUUCUUUGGCAGCUGCCGAUUCUGAGGUCGGGAUGCCCAGGAUUGGGCUAUCAUCCGUGAUGAGAAUUGUUGACAGAGUCAUUUCUGAAGACAUUCCGAUGCUCCCUUCGAUCUAGUAAAGUACGGGUGCGAAGCCAGGUUACCACGAAAACCAACCACCGUUCUAUAAACACCCUGUACUAAGAGUAAUAGCAGCAAAUGGUUAGUUUGACACAAAUAACAGAUAGGUAAUCGCACGUUGGGGUGUGAUGCACCUAUACAGUUAAAGGUGUUUAUACAUGUUUUGCAACGGUUGCAUGCUUCAUCCCGACUUUACUUAUUUUUCCCGUUUUGCUUUACAAGGUUUUUUUUGGGGUUAUGAUCGAAUCCUAUGUAGAUUGCCUACGUAUCAUGACCCCGUAUGGAUUAGACCAAGCGUAGUUCUGGGGGCGAUAAAAUGUAAAACUAAAUAACAAAACAUUUUGGGAUUUUCAAUUUUUCUCAUAAAAGGGAAAUACUCUGGAUUACAACGAUUCAAAACUAAAAAGAAAACAACAAACUCCAACAACAAAAUGACAAUAUAGAAUCAAGAACAAACUAAUAGAAUCGAAAAUAAACUAACAGACUCCAACAGAAAAGAAAGAUACAGACUCAAGUAAAAAUCAAGAAUACAUUAAUACUCCCGGUGCCCGCGGGACAUCAUUAGGUCUCGCCGCAGGCCUAAAUGCGAAAUCCCCUUGCAGUCGCUCAAAAUCACUCAUAACUUGGCGAACAAAAGUCAUCACUGCAGCGAAAAAGGUGGUACGAGUCAUGUCCUCGCACGUUUGGCAUUUCAUGGUGAUGUAUUCAGCGAUGGUUUUGGUCCUUUCUCUAAAUCUGCCUUUUUCCUGAAGCAACCGCCCUAUCUGCUGAUUUCGGGCUUCUAAAACUUGAGAGUCAUGAAGGUGCUGAUCUUGCAACUGCUGCAUUCCUUUCUCCAUUUGAGCCAUCAAAUCAUAACAGUAUUCCCUCUCAGCUUUAAAAUCUUUAGCUUGCUUGGCUGCCUCAUUCUCGAGAGUGGUUACCUUUCUUCUUAGGCUAGUGAUGGUCCCUUCAUAGUUCCUCUUCAUUUGUUGCACAACCCGUGCCCGCUCUUCUGCCUUCUUUGUCCAUUGUGCCCAGAUUUUCGCUAGACUGGCUUCAGACUUUUCCAGGUCUUCUUGACACUCAAGGACUUUCUUUUUCAGACCGCUUAUAAGUCUUUCAUCAGCUCGACUUCUUUCCGGGUUUCUAGCAACUAUUUUCAUCUUCCGGAUCUGAGUUUUGAGGGCCUCAUUUUCCUAAGUUAGUUUUUUAUUUUCUCCCUCGUCUACUGCGGCUUGAACACCAUUUUCAAACUGAAGCUCCAUGACUCACCUUUCUAACUGGCUUAUUUUGGCCCUGUACUCGUUUUCUUUGGUCAACCAGUCCCAUUGCACCUGUGCCCCAUCGGUGAACUAUUGGACAUGGGGUCUCUUUGCGGGCCUUUCAGGAAUUUGGAAUCUUUUGCCGAACCAGACAAUGUACUUAGGGUCCACUUCACCUCUAGCUAGAUUUCGCACCAUGGUCUUAGGUUCAAGAAAUCUACAUUCAUUCCACACUUGGCGAAUUUUCCCUUCUGGAAAUGCGGCUUUUGGCCCCAAUUCAAUGACAUGUUUGCUCAAAUAUUCAUCAUUGGGGACGGUUUGAAAUCUUCCUAAUUGGCGCAAAACCCUGUGUGGAGCAUAAGGCUGGAUGCCCCGGAUGCCCAUCAAGAGGAGAUAACACACUUCCGCUGACAUGUACACUGCUUCGGUGGCAGGAAGCCAUCCGAAUGCCCACUCAAUUUUAUCGUCAGUCAAGGAUAUCAAAUAUGAAAGCCAAGCUUCAGUACCCUCGGGGAAUUCAAUAAUUGCCACUCGGCUUUCAAACUCUUCAAUACAGCUCAAACCGGUCAAACCGUAAUUCAUAUACCCAACCCGGUGGGAGAGAUGUUCUUGCAUCCAUAAUUGUGGUAACAGAUUGCAACCUUGGAAGAACUUUCCUCCUUCCCGGCAGAUAGUCAAGGCUCGGUAGAUUUCAGAUAAGAUUAGGGGAACCACAGUGCUGUUGGCUUUCUUGAUUGCAACAUCGAUCAUUCCCACGAGACCUAUCUCUAUAUUACCAUCUUCUCGCGGACAAACUACAACACCCAAGAAGGCUACCAUAUAAGCUAAACCCCGCCUUGCCUCCCAUUUGUCUUUAUUUUAGGCAUGGGUUAGACCAGUGUUCGGCUCUUCAAAACCCCGGGGGUUACCAUAUCGAUGAUACAAGAACUGGAGCGUGCAAUACCCUUCAGAUAAAUUUCCGUCUCGAAUAUCCCGACUAAUACUAAACAAAUCUAGAAAUCUGUGGGGAGAUACCUGUCUUGGUGACAAUGGAUAUCGACUUCUAAGGUUUCCAUUAAGGCCCGCAUAACCUGCAACUUCCUCCAAUGUAGGUGUGAGCAAUUCAGAGAAGCAGAACACAUUGCGAGUCGGGUCACAAAAAGGUAUUAAAGUUUCAAUUAUGUCCCACCUUGUCUUGAUGUUCAAUAGUCCGACGUGGCCUCCCAGAACUCUUACCACUGUUUCUCUACUGCCUUUUUCUAGAUCAUUCCACCACAUGUGGAGCUGUAAGGGGAUCUCUUUAAGGACUGUGAAGAGUUCAAUUUCAUUUGUGCUCAUCCUACACAUUUAUUAAGGUGUUUUAGUCACUCAUUUUGACCCAAAAGUGAUACCAUUUUUUUUUUCAAAAUUUUACUUUGAAAAUAAAACCCAGUUUUGCAGAUACGGCCUUUCAACACUUCGUGGAAGAAGAUUUUAAGGUUGUGCCUGCUAACCGUACAAAAAUGAUCAAAAGGGGCUACUCUUGCAAAAGCAGCCUUCCGGCGCUAUUUUUGAGGACAUUCGGCUUAUUUUAAGCAAGAACGGCAUCACCCUGCUUAUUGUGACAAAAAUAAAAUUUUGUUGUUUUUGGGCUAUUUUUGCAAAAAAAGAAGUUGGACCCGAUGAGGGUUGCCUACGUAUCCCACAUCCGGUGAGAAUCAAACUGGCGUAGUUCGAGCAGAUUGGACGAAAAUAAACCAACUAUAUUUAAAUAGAAAAUUUUUGUCAAAAUUUUGGCAGAGUUUCAGCAUAUUUUUGGACACUGAUUUUCAAAUCAAGUAAUUACCUUUCCGAGCCCUAACAUUGAUUUUUUUUUCCAACUUUUCUCCUAUUAUUCAUAAGCCGGUCAACAUGCAAAUUCGAAGCAAAUAAAUGCACAAGUAGCAAGUAGGAUGCUUCAGGAUGGUCUUUUCAUUUCGGGUACACCUGUCCUAGAUAGACCCAACCCCUGUGUUGAGUCUCCUAAGUCAAAUGCACGUGAUGCAAACAAACGUUCCUACUAGGGAUCCAGCAUGAGGUUUUGUUAUACUAGGUUUAAAACCUAGGUUUAUUGUUCUAGACCUGGCUUACCCGAGUGGACAACUCGAACCGAAGGGGGGGGGGAGGGAGGGGGAGGCAACGUACCGGGAAUACAGAAGCUUCACCGGCUUAGCAACUUGUCCAAACCUCGUUCUAAAAUGGGAUAAGACUCUAGACAGAAGAGAAGCCACACGAAGUGCACCUUUCUCCAUGAUUUAGAAGACUUAGAGAGAGGAAAGGUUUUGUAAUAGUUUAUAUACAGUUCACAAAAUAUCAAAAACGAUAAAGCAUUUAGCACAUUAGGCUCAAACAUGUAGAAAAAUUAGAUAACAGAUAAAGCCAAUCAUAACAACUAUUCUAAGCUCGAAUUCUUGAACCCUGAACCAGAGAUUCUGGGUUCGAGUCCCCAAUAGAGUCACCAAAGCUGUCACACCUCCUUUUUACACUACCCGAAGGUAGCACAAGGGAGUUUUUCCACUUUAAGUAUUCGAAAUGGGAUUAUUUAUUCAAUAAAUUCAGAGUCACCACUUGGGAUGGUUCGUUUUCUGGUGUCCCAAGCCACCGGUUUAUUUUUCAAUCCCAAAUCGAGGAAGAUUUCGACUUUCCUUUUGAAGUCUGCGAACCAGAAAUUCUGAGUAAGGAAUUCUAUUAACCCGAGGGAAGGUGUUAGGCACCCCCGGAUUCCGUGGUUCUAGCACGAUCGCUUAAACUAUUAUAAUUGGCCUAUUUUCUGAUUUUUAUACAUGUAUCAACCUCUGGUACAUAUUAACUUAUUAAACCGCUUUCAAUUAUUUUUAAAGAAGAUUUAACGUCGUAUAAAGCAUGUCAUCGGAUCGCGCCACACGAAAUGCACCCGCAAUUCGGAACACAUCUUAUUCAACGUUGUGAGAUUUAGAGUUGGGUCACAUGAAAUGCACACCUGAGUUUAAGGAAGGUAAUAUUAUUAAAAUACGCGCCUAAAGCAACUACGAGUUGUUAAUUUCGCAAGGGCCAUGGAAAUUCAACUAAAUGGCACGCCUCGAUUUCUAAAGAUUCAAGAUUAAUUAAAUGAGGGACAUGCAUUUGAGAUUUUAUUUGAUGCGGCGCAUCUCGAUUCAAUUUUGAAAGGAUAUUCAAACUAAAGUUCGGAGGAGGGCCAUAAACUAUUUACUAUCUACUAUGGCUCACCUCAGAUCCAUUUUAGAAAACUAGUUAAUUAAGGAAAAAGCUUAAAGGGAUUCUAAUUAAUUGUUCAAACCUAUAAAAAAACUAACCGGCAUGGUAUUAAAGCAAACAAUUGUCUAAAAGGAAAUUACUUCCACGUUAAAGCAACUAAAUAAAAGAGCUGCAUAUGAUGAAACAAACAAAACCAGAUAACAAAAGGGUAAACAAUCCAUUCACGAUGCCUUCAGGCUUGUGUCCAAAAUGAUCCCAAUCGAAGCAGCGAAUACUUCAUCGACAUGGGCGUGCAAUUGAGCCCGUAACGGAAUGUUCUUCGGUUGAGCCAGCCUUGGAUCCCAUUUUUUAAAGCCAAACAUUUGUGCAAAAAUCAUUUACGUGCAAGGUAACGAAGACUAUGUGAAAACAUGUAAUUGAACUAACUUUACUUUUGAGCUAGCUAAACAUUCUGAAACUUAAACACUAAUGUCAAUUUAACUAGCUUAUUCACGACCCAUAUUAGAUCAGUACACCUUUAAUCUAAAAAAAAAAUAACUUCGACCAUCGUUCCCCUUUUUUUUAUAUCAGACCAUUUUCAAAACCAAAUAUGUAUCUAUUACAUAAAUUUCCUACCACCAAAUCCAACAUGGUACUAAACUUUUAAGAGCAUAGUUUCAACUUUCACAACAUAUAAUCAGAAAGAAAUAAGAAAACUUAAGUAGAAAAUGUGACAACAAAUUCAUCACUAAUGUUGGAAGAGUAACAUAAGCAGGAGAAAUAACUUCAAGGAUUCAGGGAUUUAGGAACUAAGCUAUGAACAAAUAGAUUUAUGAUCUACAUCCACAUGCUUCUAAGUUAUGACCAUGGAAUCAAAAGAAAUAGGACGAUUUCAACCAUUUGAAUACCUCAAUCUUAGUCCAUAGUUAUGUGCAAAUGUAACGCACUACUGCAAGUUACUUUCACAUACACCAUUUCAAAGAAAAAAGAACCUUAUUGACACUUAUAAUUCAAAGACUGAUUACAGGACAUGGAAAAUAGUAAAGGAACAAGGGAAAAUCAGCUUUGAAUGCAACCUUCAUUUGACAGAAAUUCCACUCUAUUACUUGCUCGAAAUAACUCCUCAGUCAUGAGCUAAUAAGGUACCUGGGAAAGAAAAUAAGAGGGAAGGAAGGAAAUCAACAACAGAACAGCAGCCAGCAAACACCAGCAACACCAGCUCAACCAAAUUGAGUUUGAAAACAAUAAAAGGCAACCUCACUCGAGCAGAUGACAAAGCAAACUUCAAAACCGAUACCCAAACACCUAAUUUCAAUCCAUUUGAGCUAUAUUAACCAGAAGACCCUUUUAGGAAGUAGGAACUUAAGAAAUCACAAAAGACUUGCAAUGGAACAAUGAUUUUUCUUCAGUUUUUAGUCGUUCUCUUUUUCUGAGUUUUCUUAGCUUUUUGGCAAUCCCUCCAAUCUCUAAAAUCUAAAUUGAACCCCAAGUAACUAUGCCUUUAUAGGCAAAAUACUAGGGCAACCUUAAGAGUUCAAUUUUUUCAUUUUAGUCCUUUUCAAAUUUUCCUUUUUGCUGCUUAGUCCUUCAUUUACUGACUUGUUGGUCAAGUAGGUAUAUUAUGCAGCUUCUGGGAAGCUUCUCAGGUAGUUACUUGAGAGAUUCUCUUAGUGCUUCACCCAAAUCACCGUUAGUUACCCCUGAAAUUUACUCUUAAGUCUCAAAUGGGUUAUGCGUUAAGUUGACCCUGGGCUGACCCAUUAGAAUGAACCCCAUUUUUUCUGGUCUUUGAUUCAAUCAACAAUCAAAUCCAGUCCAUUGAAGUCCAAAUAAAAUUCAAACCCAAAAAUGGUUAAAGAUUUAAAGUGAAACCAGAAAAAGUAGUUUCAAUUUUAGGCUUUCAGGGCUUAAACCUUUGAUUUGAUAUUCGAACCGCUCCGGAGGUGUUUGAAGGAAACUAAGUUAGGAUUUAGAAUGAGGGAGUGAAAGAGGUCUCAGGGUGUUGAUUUGGGGUCGAACAGAGGUGGCACCGCCACCGGAGAAUAUCGUGGCGGCGCUAGGGUUUUGAGUUUUGAUCUAAAAUUCGACGAAUUCUAGGUGGAUUUGAGGAGAAGCGUUUGAGGAUUUGGGAUGCGGAGAUGGAGGAGAGUACUUGGUAUUAAUUUCAAGGUGUUUGGACGCCGGUCGAUGGUUUUAGGGCGGAGCUCGACGGAGUCUCUGAGGAGAUGGGGUGAGAUGAGAGAUGCGUUUGAUGGGUGUAAGCUUAGGACAAUUAUAUAUAAAAUGAGGCUUAGUUCUGGACCACCCGAUGGAAAGAAAUCAACGGUCUUGAUCAAGACCAUUGGAACAUCGUCGUUUUGGUUACUGGUGGAGUUUGGACCGAGUUGGGACGCGGAUCUGGGCUGGUUCGGUCGGGUAGAGGGGUUGAAUUAAUUGGGCUUUGAGGAAUUUCAUGGAUUUGGCCCAAAAAUCUGAUUCUUUUCAGUUCUUUUCCUUUUCCCAUUUUCCUUUUAUUUUAAAAACAUCUUUUCUUUUCAAAAAUUAGAAAUAAAAUUAAUCCCUAAACCAAAUUAUCCUACCAAAUUAAAUUAAUUAACUCUAAAUAAUAAUUACCACAACUAAUUAAAUACCAAAUUAAAAGAAAACUACCAAAAUUGGAAGCUAAAAAUUAAAAUGCAAAAACGAGCUAUUUUUGUGUUUUUCCAUUUUCGUAAAACAAACUAAUUUACUAAUUAAUUUAAAAAUGCAAAACUAAAUCCUAAAUGCAGUGCGUGAUAUUUUUUGCUAUUUUUCAUGAUUUAAAUAAAAUUAAAUAUGCACACAAAAUGUAAAUAAACACAUAAAUUGGGCAAUUAAUUCCAAAAAACCAAAGAAAAAUCCUAAUUUUGGAGAUUAUGUAGGAGUAAUUCAUGCGAGGCAAUAAUCACAUGGUCACAGCGCUUCGAUUUUCACCAAACCAAUACCAGCCAAAUAUAUCAGGUCGUUUUAAUCACAUAAUUAAAUUGAAUCUCUCUUUACUAUAGUUAUGGAUUAAAUUCCCAUACGUAAAUUUAUGCUUAGUAAUAGUUGAACAAAUUCACAAACAUAUAAUCUAAAUAUAUUCAUGUGGUAGAAAUUGUUUCCCGUAACAAAUGAUAUUAUUUUUUAAUAUGACAAUAAUCAAUUCAUUCAUAUAUCCUUUCAAGCUUAAUUCUUUUACAAUUAAACACAAUGAUCAAUAAUAAAACUCUAUCUCAAAAUCGAGAAGGAUAUACGAAUUUAAUAGAUUUUGUCUUAUGAAUACAAAAAAAUUGAAGAGAUUGAAGUAUUUCAACAACAUUUAAUAAGAAAGUGACCAUGCACAUUAAAAUCAAGCAUUAUUUAAAGUAUAUAAAAUGAAUCACUAUAAUAAUUGUAUUAAAUAUUACAUCUCAUGAGAGACACAAAUAUUUCUAGACAUACUUUUUUAUUUAAAGAAAAUUAUAUAUAAAGUUUAUUUAUAUGUCGGUUGGGUUUCGAUAUUUCCUUACUCAAUACAAAAUCAAACCAAAUUAAAUGUCAUGACCCGAAUUCAGCCAUAGGGGUCGUGAUAACACCUAGUCCCUAAAACUAGGUAAGCCGAUCAGUUAUAACAGUUAAACCAAUAAAAAUAUGAUAUAAUAAAGCAGAGUUUAAUAUAAAUGUAGAAAUAAUGGUGAUACAAGCCAGCACGACGAUAAUCACAACAUAUCCCCAGAACUAGGUAGUAUACAGUCACGAGCUCUAACUGAAUACAUAGAAAUAUCUCAAAUGCAAUACUGUAGUGAACUGACAGUAUAAUUAUAAAGAAAGGACUCCAAGGGACUGCGACGACGCGAUCAAAGAAGCUCUCACUGACUGGGUUCACUACCUCCAACACCUGGAUCUACAUAAAAAUAUGCAGAAGUGUAGCAUGAGUACACCACUAUCGGUACUCACUAAGUAUCAAAACUAAUAUUGGUGAAGUACUGACGAGGUUCAAGUCAGGUGAUACUCACUACUCAAAAUAACAUGUGUAAUUGAUCAAAGACUGGAAACAAAAGAAGAGUAGAAAAUCAAUAGCAAUAACCGCAUCAUAAUAAGUGAUAACAAUUUAAUACAAGCAAAGGGCUCAGUUUCAACAACAAGUAAUCACAUAGAAACUCACACAAAUAGCACCCCGUGCCUAUAGUUUUAUCACAACAACAAUAGUCACUCGUAUCACGCUGCCUCGAAAUAAUCAUAAUAGCCACUAGUACCACUCUGACCAAAUAAUAUCACAAAAGACACCAUAUCGCUUAGCCUAGACAAUAUCACCAUAGCCACCCGUAUCGUUCAGCCUAGACAAUAUCACAAUAGCCACCCGUAUCGCUUCACACAAUCAACAACAGUGAAAUAUCACCCUUAUACUCUGCACGACAACAAUCAAACCAUCCAACAUGUCCACAUGUGCCACAAUAUCACAAAAUAUUGAAUCAAUAUGUCAUUUAUAUUUUUAUCCCUCAUUUCUGUGUUCCGAGACCUCGAAUAACUCCUUUUAGCCUUCCUCGAUUUGUGCACGCAUUCAUUGUAUUUUUCCAAAAAACAAUUAUGUGAAAAAAUGAUAAAAAUGUGAAAGUUUUCCUUAAAACUCAUUGGAGUUAACUUUUGUGUAAACGAACCCAUAUCAGUAUUUUAACGGUCCUGGUGGGUCCGUAUCCUAAUUUGGGACUUGAGUGUAUACCCAAAAUCGAAUUCGGAAGUUCCUAACUUGAUUUAAUAUAAUUUGUUGAAAACUAGAUAUUUAAAGGUUUAAAGAAUUGCUAAGUUUGACCGUAGGUUGACUUUUUUGCUGUCGGGUUCGGAUUUAAUUUACGGAACUUGGUAUAAGUAUUUCAGUUUUUAUGACUUGUCUGCAAAAUUUGGUGCAAAACGGAGUUGAUUUGAUAUAAUUAGUACAUCCGGUUGUAAAAUUAAAAGUUCUUAAGUUUCUUCGAAAAUUUCAUUCAUUUUAGUGUAUGAUAUAUAGUUCUAGGUCUUAUUUUAGUGUUUUGAUUGAGUGAACAAGUUUGUAUGAUAUUAUUACACUUGUGUGUAUGUUUAGUUUGGAGCCCGAGGGGCUGAAGUAAGUUUCGAAUAGGCUACGGACCAUUUCAAACGUAAAAGAAUGUUGGUUUUGCUGAUAUAUGGUACCUGAGAAUUUGUACUUUGAUAUCGCGAAGCUACUCCCGCGAUCGCAAAGGAAAAAAUUGGGACUGAGGCAGAGUUGCUCUUUACGAACGCGAGAUAUUGGUCACAAACGCAAAGUGGAGGGGGGCUUGCCCUUUGCGAACGCGAUUGUUCCUCCUAGAACGCGAAACAUUGUGGGAUUUUGGGGGGAGCUGGGCUAAUAUUCUACGCGAGCGCGGUUAUUGAGUUGAGAACGCGAUGACCCGGGAGGAAGAGCCAUCGUGAACAUGAAGAACAUCUCGCAAACCCGACGGCCAUUUGGGCCGCAGUCGCAAUCGAGUUAGGUCUUUCGCUAACACAAUGAUGACCUCACACCAGUGAUUUAAAAUGUCCCAAAUACGGUAUUUCACCAAUGUUUCACCAUCUUCUCAUUAGAGCUCCGCCUAUAGGCAAUUUUGAAGAGAAAUAUCAUCAAUAUUUCAUAGGUUAGUAUACUUUAACUCGUUUCUUCAAUUUCCAUCACCACCCAUUGAUUUCUAACCUUAAUCUAUGCUCUUUCAUGAUAGAAAAUUAGGGAUUUAAGAGUUUUGUAAAAUUACAAUUUAGACCUCAAAUCGAGGUAAGAUUUCGAAACUAAUUGCAUUAUCGGGCUUGGUGGUGAAUGCGUAAUUGAAUUUUGGUCUGAAUCUUGGGUUUUGACCAAGCGGUUUGGGGUUGACUAUUUGGGAGAAAGUGUAAAGAUCUUAGCUUUAUAUAUUGUAAAUAAUUUAUCUCGCAUUAUUUGUUGAUAUUAAGUCAAUUUUGGUUAUAUUCGGUUGGUUCGGAGGCAAAUUUUAGAGGAAGGUCCCCAAUUGAUCUUUGAUUUGCUUACAGAGUGAGGUAAGUGUUGGGUUUAACCUUGAUUUGAAGGAAGUAGGAACUCAUGAACUAUGAUUUAUGUGAAUUACAUGUGUAGCAGCAUAUAUGCAAGGUGACGAGUGUAUAUACGCCAUUAAAAUAAUUGAUUUCAUGCUUUCCCAUAUUUUAUUAUUUAAUUUAUUCCAUGUCUUAACAACUACAUGCUUUAGUUGCUUCCUAUGCCUUAACUUGCUACUUGUCACUUAUUUCUCUCGUAUUGAAAUGUUCGUUUGUUGCAUGCUUCCAUGAUUAAUUGCUACUUGCCUUAAUUGUCUUACUUGUACACUUUGACUAUCAUAUAUUUUUCUUGUCUUGUUUCUUUGUAUUAAUUGUAGUAUUCCUUGAUUUUGAUACAAGGUUCCUUUACGGUUUUGCUUUUACAUUCUUUAAUCGUAUAGAUUCUUGUGAAUUGAGUUGCUAAAUUGAUUAUAUUUAUUAAUAUUGUUUAUAUAUCGGAUUGCACGCUGCAACAGGUGGAAUAAGGAAGGAUUGAUAUUAAUAUGGUGGGAUCGGGUUACACGCCGCAAUAGAUUUUAUAUGUGAUAUUGAUAUAGUGAAAUAAGGGAGGAUUAUUAUAUUGAUUCUUAUUAUGUGGUGGAAUUGGUGUAACAACCUGACUGAUCGUUUUGCUUUCUAGAACCCCGUUCCCCUGAAUAAGACUUCCCGCAGUUGCUUUAAUUGAUUUAUGACUUUCGGGGAUGGUUGAUUCGGGAGUUUGAGCUUGUUGUUAUCUACAUACAUUGUGAAUAAAAUAUUGAACUUCAUAUUAUUAUAUUUGUUGGCCCUAGUAAGUUUCGGGGCCGACCCCUCAUCACUACUUCUGCUAGGUUAGGCGAGAUACUUACUGGGUACAUAUUCUUAUGUACUCACACUACACUUCUGUACUUGAUUGUACAGGCUUUGAGGCAGGUGUAUCUGGCCAUCAGUCUGGCGCGUAGAGUGGACUCCUCAGCUUGCGACUUGAGCCGUUCUGCAUCAGCUAGAUUCUUUCUAUGUCUUUACUUUUCUUGUCUAUUUCCUUUCCAGAUAGUAGGAUAGUAGGGUUUUGUAUAUUCUACUAGAUUGUCCACAUACUUGUGACACUAGGUCUUGGCACACACAUUGGUAGACUUAUGAUUUUUGGAUUACUAUCAUGAUUAAUUUUGUAAUUAUUACUUUUAUCUAAUUAUGCUUAAGUUUCAGCUCAUAAUUUCUUUAUCAAUAAUGAAAAGUUUUCACGUACUAAUUAUUUAAAUGAGGAUUUACAGUUGAUUAGUGUUGUCUUGCCUAACAAUAGAGUUUGGAGCUAUCACGGCCUAAUGUGGAAUUUGGGUCAUGAUAAUAUGGUUUCAGAGCACUAGGUUCACAUAGGUGUCACAGGUUAUGGGCAAACCUGGUAGAGUAUUGCGGAUCGGUACGGAGACGUCUGUACUUAUCUUUGAGAGGCUAUAUGGUGUUAGGAAACUACUCUUUAUUAGUAUUCUAUCGUGUAGUCGAUGGCACUAAAUUUUCUUUUUCUAUUCUCUCACAGAUGGUUAGGACGCGUAUGGCGGACGUUCCAGACCCGGGAGGAGCUACUCCCCUAUUGCUAGAGGCCGAAGAAGAGGUCGGGGGAGGGCAUCGGCCCGAGGCAAGGGACGAGGGAAUCCCAGAGAUGCCCCAGUUGCACUGCUGGCAGAUCCAGUAGGGGAUCCCAUUAUUGAAGAGCAAGGCAAGGUGCCUACAGCAGAGCCUGCCCUAGUGGACUUUAUGACAUCGCCGGGUUUCCAGGAAGUCAUGGGCCGUAUGCUGCGGUUCAUGGACUCUAUGACUCAGGCUGGUUUAUUUCCAGUAGACUCAACCACAUAUCAGGCAGGAGGGGUAGGACAGAACCCUACUGCUCAGGCUCCUGGGCACGCAACUACCAUAUACCAGACUUCGGGUACACUACCCAUGGGCAGUGCCCGACCAGUUCCAGCAGUGGCACCUGAGCCCAGACCAGCUGCGGAUGAUGAUUCGCAGAAAUUGUUAGACCCUCCUAUCUUUGGAAGUGAGCGUCAUGAUGAUGCCCGAGAUUUCAUUGAUAGGUGUAGGGAUAGACUGCACAACAUGAGGAUAUUGGAGUCCCAUGGGGUAGAUUUCACCACCUUACAGUUAGAGGGAAGGGCCCGUAGGUGGUGACAAUCUUACCUUCUUGGCAAACCAGCAAGUUCUCCUCCCAUGACUUGGGAUCGGUUUACACAUCUUCUAUUGGAAAAUUAUAUUCCACCCUCUCAGAGGGAAGAGUUACGGUGUCAGUUUGAGCAGUUCGAGAAGGAUCAGAUGUCUGUGACCAACUAUGAGGCGAGAUUCUUUGAGUUGUCUUGCCAUGCACUCAUGAUAUUUCCUACAGAUGUAGAAAGAGUGCAGAGAUUUGUUGCGGGGUUACACCCCAGCAUUUGAGCUAGCUUGACCCGAGAGGUUGAGAUGGGGACCUAGUAUCAGCUAGUGGUAGAGUUUGCUCGGAGGAUUGAGGGUUACCGCUAGAGGGGUAGAGAGUAGUUGCAGCAGGACAAGACGACUCGAUUCUCUGGAGAGUUUGGAGGUGCCCCAGCUACAGACAGAUGUCAUUUUGGGAGAGGCCAGCCUAGGAGACCCCCAUAUUCAGCACUUCCACCAUCUCCUCGAGAUACUCUAGUGAGGCCUUAUUUCAUUGCGAAGCCGGAGAGUUCUUACCGCCCGCCAGCUUUUCAGGGUUCCUCUGGUGGGUAUUCUGGUAAUCAGGGUUCUUCUAGUUCCCACUCCAGUGCUAUGCCAGAGAGUUCAUAUCGCCCACUAGCUAUUCAGGGUUCUUCUAGUGGGUAUUCGGGCUAUCAGGGUCUGGCUUCAAGACAACAAUGUAUUGUUCCAUGGGGUUGUUACGAGUGUGGGGAUCUGGGUCACAUAAAUAGAUUUUGCCCAGACUUUGGGGCAAGGCGGUACAGUAGGGUUACCAGCCUAUGAUUACAACACCAGCAGUCCAGCCGCCCAGAAUUGGAGGACAUGCAGGUGUGUGCUGUCCUAGAGGUGGAGGCCAGGCAGGUGUGUGCUGUCCUAGAGGUGGAGGCCAGGCAUGAGGAGUUCAACCAGCUAUGGUUCAGCCUAGCGGGGGCCAGCCAACCGGUGCUCUAGUUAGAUUCUAUGCUUUUCCGGCCAGACUAGAUGCAGUGGCCUCAGAUGCCGUGAUCACAGGUAUUUUUUUAUACGAUAGGGAUGCUUCGAUAUUAUUUGAUCCAGGGUCUACAUAUUCAUAUGUCAUCUUUGUAUGCUCAUUUCAUGGAUAUCUCUCGUGAGUCUUUGGGUACUCCUAUUUAUGUAUCCACUCCUACUGGCGAUUAUCUGGUUGUGGAUCGGAUCUACCAGUCCUGUGUGGUUACAUUCUAUGGAUAUGAGACUAGAGAAGACCUUCUGUUACUUGAUAUGAACGACUUUGAAGUCAUCUUGGGCAUGGAUUGGUUAUCUCCAUAUUACGUCAUUCUUGAUUGUCAUGCCAAGACUGUUACUUUAGCGAUGCCAGAGUUGCUGAGAUUGGAGUAGAAAGGUUCCUUCGUUAGUGCAUCUAGUCAGGUUAUCUCUUUUCUAAAGGCUCGACAUCUAGUCGAGAAAGGGUGUUUGGCAUAUCUAGCAUAUGUUUGGGACACCACCUUAGAGUCUCUGAUAAUUGAUUCAGUGCCAAUAGUUCGAAAGUUCACUGAUGUGUUUCCUUCUGACCUUCCAGGCAUGCCACCUGAUCGUGACAUUGAUUUGGCUCUAGGUACCCAACCUAUAUCUAUCCCACUAUACCGUAUGGAUCCCAAAGAGUUGAAGGAGUUGAAGGAGCAACUUGAGGAGUUGUUUGCUAAGGGGUUUGUGAGCCCCAGUGUAUCACCUUGGGGUGCACCAGAGUUACUUGUGAAGAAGGAUGGGACUAUGCGGAUGUGCAUUGAUUACCGCCGGUUGAACAAAGUCACCAUCAAGAAUAAGUACCCGUUGCCACGUAUCGAUGAUUUGUUUUAGCAGUUACAAGGUGGUAGGGUGUUUUCUAAGAUCGACUUGAGAUCGGGGUACCACCAGUUGAAGAUUCGGGACUCAGAUGUUCCGAAGACUACUUCCCGUACUAGAUGUCACACCUCAUUUUUACCUACACCCCGGAAGGAGGGGAUACAAGGGAGUUUUUUCCAACUUAAAGUGACAAUCAAAAUGGGGUUAUUUUAUUAAAAAUUCAGAGUCACCACUUGGGAUAAUUUUAUGGUGUCCCAAGUCACCGGUUUCAAAUCCCGAAUCGAGGAAAAGGUUGACUCUGUUUUACAGUCUGCGAACACAGAAAUUCGGGUAAGGAAUUCUGUUAACUUGGGAGAAGGUGUUAGGCAUUCCCGGAUUCCGUGGUUCUAGCACGGUUGCUCAACUAUUAUAAUUGGCCUAUUAUCUGAUUCUAAUACAUGUUUUAACCCAUGGUACAAUAUUAACUUUAUAACCGCUAUUGUUUAAUUAUUUUUAGGAAAGAUUUAACAUCAUCUAAAACACGUCUUGAACCAUGUCACAUUAAUGCACCCGCGGUCCAUGACACAUUUUAUCUGAUGUUGUUAAAAUUUGGAUUUGGGACACAUAAAUGCACACCCGAGUUUAGGAAUGUAAUUUUUAUAAUAGCGCGCCUAAAGCAACUACACAUCUUCAAGCUACUAUUUGAGAUAAAACGACAUAAUCACAUGAAUAAACAAUUCGCUAGCUACACCAGUAAGGGAGCUCAACAACUAAAUGAAAUAAAUUGUAAAAAAAAAAGGUACUUCAUUCACAUAAAUUUUAUAGAGAACAGAAGCAUGUAGUCAUAAGUAUAGACACGUUUGAGAGGCUUACAUAUAUAUAUGUCAGAAUUGAAAAAGACUCUCCUAUACAUGAUUUCAUUUUUUUAUAAUAUAUACGUUUAUACUACACAAUUGGAGAGGUAAAUGAGAAAAAUGUGCUUCUUUUAUGUUUUAUUAUUAUUUUUGCCUCAUUUAACUACACCUCUAGCAGAGACAGAUUUUGAUGCCAUUGCCAAGUUAGUAAAGAAAAGCACGGUCAGAACUACUUACUAGCAAUUUGAUAGAAAAUUUUUUUUGUCACAAAUUACCACCGAGCAAUGUAUCUUAUGGCCAAUUUUAAUAAUAAUAAAAAAUAUUAAAAAACAAACAUAAAAUCUUACAAUUGAAUUAAGAAAAAUAAGAGCUAGCUAGAGUUAUAAAAGCUAAUACCAACUAAAGAGCUGACGACAUGUUCUAAGUUAAUUAAACAAUAUGAAAAAUAAAGAUAUCUACCGACAAAUUUUCAGUAAAAUCACCAUUGCCAUAUGACUUUCUUAUUCAAAAAUGCAGUGUCAGAAGCCAAUACAUACGGUCAUAAUCUCAUAACAAAUCAGAUCUGGGCAUACGAACAGAAAUACAUACCUAGCAGUCGAAAAUUGGCUAAAAACAUGGCUCAACCUUUAGAAACCCAGAAAGAAAGGAAAAUUUCGAAAUAAGUCCCCUUCAAAUCCCAUUGAGAAUUCCAGUUUUCUCAUUUCUCUUGUUUCAACAAUUUUGUGUGUGCUUCUGAUUUCUUUUUCUGAUUUUUUGUUUGAUGUUAGAGAUGGGUGGCUAAGGUUUUUUUGGAAGGGGGGGGGGGAUUUUAUUCUCUUUAUCUGUGGUUUUUAGAAAUGAAGAAGAAGGAGAACGAAAGGGAAGGUGCGUCGUUUUUGCUUUUUUCGUUGUCUAGAAGGGAAGGGGUGUCAAGUGUAUGGAAAAAUAUGAUGCCCUUAGGUCUAGGUC
rnacentral:lncRNA from 1 species